AUUGAACGCUGGCGGCAGGCCUAACACAUGCAAGUCGAGCGGAUGAAGGGAGCUUGCUCCUGGAUUCAGCGGCGGACGGGUGAGUAAUGCCUAGGAAUCUGCCUGGUAGUGGGGGAUAACGUCCGGAAACGGGCGCUAAUACCGCAUACGUCCUGAGGGAGAAAGUGGGGGAUCUUCGGACCUCACGCUAUCAGAUGAGCCUAGGUCGGAUUAGCUAGUUGGUGGGGUAAAGGCCUACCAAGGCGACGAUCCGUAACUGGUCUGAGAGGAUGAUCAGUCACACUGGAACUGAGACACGGUCCAGACUCCUACGGGAGGCAGCAGUGGGGAAUAUUGCACAAUGGGCGAAAGCCUGAUCCAGCCAUGCCGCGUGUGUGAAGAAGGUCUUCGGAUUGUAAAGCUCUUUUAGUUGGGAAGAAGGGCAGUAAGAUAAUACCUUGCUGUCUUGACGUUACCAACAGAAUAAGCACCGGCUAACUACGUG
rnacentral:rRNA from 1 species